GGGGAAUCUUGGACAAUGGGGGCAACCCUGAUCCAGCGAUGCCGCGUGAGCGAAGAAGGCCUUAGGGUUGUAAAGCUCUUUCGCCCGCGACGAUGAUGACGGUAGCGGGAGAAGAAGCCCCGGCUAACUCCGUGCCAGCAGCCGCGGUAAUACGGAGGGGGCUGGCGUUGUCCGGAAUUACUGGGCGUAAAGCGCGCGUAGGCGGUCCACCAAGUCGGGGGUGAAAGCCCGGGGCUCAACCCCGGAAUGUCCUCCGAGACUGUUGGACUGGAGUUCGGGAGAGGAGAGCGGAAUUCCCAGUGUAGAGGUGAAAUUCGUAGAUAUUGGGAAGAACACCGGUGGCGAAGGCGGCUCUCUGACCCGCAACUGACGCUGAGGCGCGAAAGCGUGGGGAGCAAACA
rnacentral:rRNA from 1 species